UAUGGUGGCGACAGCCAAUGGGUCACACCUGUUCCCAUCUCGAACACAGAAGUUAAGCCAUUGAACGCCGACGAUAGUGUCAAAGCGAAAAUAGGAAGCUGCCAGAC
rnacentral:rRNA from 1 species